CCUACGGGAGGCAGCAGUAGGGAAUUUUCCACAAUGGGGGCAACCCUGAUGGAGCAACACCGCGUGCAGGAUGAAGGUUUUCGGAUCGUAAACUGCUUUUAUUUGUGACGAUUAUGACAGUAGCAAAUGAAUAAGGGUCGGCUAACUACGUGCCAGCAGCCGCGGUCAUACGUAGGACCCAAGCGUUAUCCGGAAUUACUGGGCGUAAAGAGUUGCGUAGGUGGUUUGUUAAGCGGGCAGUGAAAUCGUGUGGCUCAACCAUACACACAUUGUCUGAACUGGCAAACUUGAGUGUUAUAGAGGUUACUAGAAUUCCAAGUGUAGGAGUGAAAUCCGUAGAUAUUUGGAGGAAUACCGAUGGCGUAGGCAGGUAACUGGAUGACAACUGACACUAAGGCACGAAAGCGUGGGGAGCAAACGGGAUUAGAUACCCUGGUAGUC
rnacentral:rRNA from 1 species